GACGAACGCUGGCGGCAUGCCUAACACAUGCAAGUCGAACGAGACCGCCGGGUCUAGGGGCGCUCGGGUGCGUAACGCGUGGGAACCUGCCCUUAGGUUCGGAAUAACUCCCCGAAAGGGGUGCUAAUACCGGAGAAUGUCUUCGGACCAACGAUUUAUCGCCUUGGGAUGGGCCCGCGUUGGAUUAGCUAGUUGGUAGUGUAAAAGCCUACCAAGGCGACGAUCCAUAGCUGGUCGGAGAGGAAGAUAAGCCACACUGGGACUGAGACACGGCCCAGACUCCGACGGGACGCAGCAGUGGGGAAUAUUGGGGAAUGAGCGAAAGUCUGAUCCAGCCACGCCGCGUGAGUGAUGAAGGCGUUAGGGUUGUAAAGCUCUUUUACCCGGGAUGAUAAUGACAGUACCGGGAGAAUAAGCACCGGCUAACUACGUG
rnacentral:rRNA from 1 species